UACGUAGGGUGCAAGCGUUGUCCGGAAUUAUUGGGCGUAAAGAGCUCGUAGGCGGUCUGUCGCGUCUGCUGUGAAAACCUAGGGCUUAACUCUGGGCGUGCGGUGGGUACGGGCAGGCUAGAGUGCGGUAGGGGAGACUGGAAUUCCUGGUGUAGCGGUGAAAUGCGCAGAUAUCAGGAGGAACACCGGUGGCGAAGGCGGGUCUCUGGGCCGUAACUGACGCUGAGGAGCGAAAGCGUGGGGAGCAAACAGG
rnacentral:rRNA from 1 species